GUUUUCGGGUAAUUGCGGUCUAAUAUUGAUUAGGCUGAGGAAAGUCCAUGCUCGCACAGUCUGAGAUGUCUGUAGUGUUCGUGCUUAGCGAAAUCAUAAGCUAAGGUAUCUUUUUAAUAAGAUAACGGCAGAAAAAACAGCUAAAGUUUUUAAACCAUGCUGGAGUAUUCUUGAAAGUGCCACAGUGACGAAGUAAUUUUAGAAAUGAAAUUAGUGGAACGCGGUAAACCCCUCGAGCGAGCAACCCAAACAAUGGUAGGGGCACUCUUCUUAAGGAAUUCAACGAGGAGAAGAGACAAGUAAUUUGUAGAUAGAUAAUUACCAGUCUUAUUUUUGCCUGAAAAAAUAAGACUACAGAACAUGGCUUAUAGAA
rnacentral:RNase_P_RNA from 1 species